rnacentral:lncRNA from 1 species
GAGCAAGGAAGCAAUCAUGAAGAAAACAGGAACUCGGGAGGAGCAAGGAAGCAAUCAUGAUGAAUGAGGGGUCUGGUAUCUCAUCUCUGGAUGUGGUAAUCUGCAACAUGCCUUGAGCGCUCCUGCCUGUCCUUGGAUGGUCUUCCUCGGCAGCAGCAUGGAAGGCGGGGCGGUUUUCUAUUUGUGGCUGUAUCACGAAGCACUUAAGCAAUCCACAGACAUAAAAUGUGGCUGGAUGUGGUGGCUCAUGUCUGUAAUCCCG